rnacentral:rRNA from 1 species
UACGUAGGGCGCAAGCGUUGUCCGGAAUUAUUGGGCGUAAAGAGCUCGUAGGUGGCUUGUCACGUCGGGUGUGAAAGCUUGGGGCUUAACUCCAGGUCUGCAUUCGAUACGGGCUGGCUAGAGGUAGGUAGGGGAGAACGGAAUUCCUGGUGUAGCGGUGAAAUGCGCAGAUAUCAGGAGGAACACCGGUGGCGAAGGCGGGUCUCUGGGCCGAUACUGACGCUGAUGCGCGAAAGCGUGGGGAGCGAUCCGG